AUGGGGGCAAAAAUUGACCGAUCUGUAAACGAUGGUGGAGGUCCAAAGAUUUUUAAAAUUAAUGGUCAGGUCUGUCAUCGUAUAGGCUCGCUGCUUCCAAAUGAGGGUGAUUCUCCCAAAUAUGCAGAGUUAUACAUACAUGACAGAGAAAAUGAGGUUAGCAAUAGGAUCCAGGCCUUAAGUCAGCAGAAUGAAACUGGUGCUGGGUUAGAUAAGGAGAUUGUGAAGGGUCUUAUGCAGAUGCUUGAUGCAAAUAAUUCUUUGGUCAAAAAAUUCCGUAUGGCCAGCGAGAUAUUGAAUAAUAAUAAACAUGAGGUGAUUUCAAUAAGGCUUAUAACUCCUGGAGAAAAUGAUAGCGCACAGUUUAAUUUGCCUGCAAUUGAUGAGCUAGCAGCUUCGGUUUAUGGUGAGUUUACGUUGGAGGUGCCAUGUAGAGACCUGAUAAUACGCACUAAAGCAGAUCGUCUUCGUCGUAUUUCCUCUUUAGAUACUACUUACAUGCCUUUGCAAUAUCCUUUGUUGUUCCCGUACGGUGAACGUGGCUUUCAGCUCGGUGUGCGCUAUAUUGAUUCUGCUAGUGAUGACCCGAACAAGAGGGUUGAAAUGACCAUGCAAGACUUCUAUUGCUUCUUCUCGCAUUGUAAACCAGAACAACAUAAUCCAUAUCUAUGUUGUGGCCUGUUGUCAUCACAGGCUGCUGUUGAUUUCCGAGCCUGCAUCGAUGAAUGCCGGCUCAAUUUUAUUCUUAAGUGUAACAAUGAUAUGCGGGCUGAGAAUCUUCACGGUGUUGUCGACGCGGUAGGACAGGGUAUGGUUGGUGGGUCCGAGGUUGGGAAGAAGAAUAUUAUGCCGUCGGCUUACACUGGUGGUCGUCGGUAUAUGUAUGAAAAUUUUCAAGAUGCUAUUGCUGUCUCACGGGUUCAUGGGUCGCCGGAUGUCUUCACAACUUUCACAUGUAACCCAAAGUGGGAACAAAUCCUUGACUCCGUUGAGCCUGGCCAAACAGCGACGGAUAGGGCUGACAUUGCUGUUAGGGUGUACCACAUGAAACUUUUGCAAUACCUUCAUCGAAUUAAAAAUGGGAAUGCCUUUGGUCUCGUAGUUGCUGGUACUGCCCCUUGCAAUCCUCUUUCAAUUCCCUUCUCCUCCUUUUAUUUACUUCUUACUAUUUCUUCCGCCUUUUCCUCCUAUUUUCAGUCUUGCACACUAUUGAGUUUCAGAAGAGGGGGUUGCCGCAUGCACACAUACUUGUUUGGCAAAAGGACGACGAUAGGGUCGUCACACCAGCCCUUAUAA
rnacentral:rRNA from 1 species